GUAUGAACCAGCCAAUUCAACUUGAACAUGCAUGUACAACGGCGAGCCGAUGCCGUCGACUUGUCUCGAACCAAACAAAAUACGUCUUCCGUCAGCUGCUUCAACGAAGAGAGAGAGGCGUCGUCGCCUCCUUCGUCGACUGCGGGGGCGCGUGCUCCGAUGGAAUCGACAGCUCCGAGCGACCGCUGCAGGAGCUGAGGCGAGUCGUCGCCGGCCGCAAGGAUCGGAUGCGCGGGCGGGAGCGUGCGCUGCGCCUUCGCUCGAGCUCCCGCUGCCGCUUCCUCCGUCGCGUGCCCGAGUGUGUCGCCUCCGCGCCGGAUCUAGCCUCUCCGCGGUUGGAUCUGCGAGCAAACGGCGUCCUUCCUUCCCGACCACCACGCCCGUCCUCCCGCCGUCACCACCGAGUAGGCCGCGAACCGACGCGACGCCGGUCCUCCCCGCCGGCCAUCCUGUCUCCGACCGCCCUCCGAAGUCCGAAGCCAACGCUCGUCCUCAGGAGCAGGAGGCUGCCGGUGGCCGGUGCUGCGCGCUGCAAUUCGUGGCCAAGCGCCUGCGCUAUACUAGGUACAACAGCCACCUGUGAUCGAAGCCGACGCCAGGUUCGUGGCCAGGCUGCCAUCAACAACACCAAAGGGGGCUGAAGCCGACGGCCACACAUCUUGCAAGAGAAGUAGUCUAUUUUGACUACAUUCAGAUAAAGAAAAGGAAGGCUGCACUGUAUGUUGCUUUUCAUUUUGGAGAUGGUAGGUUAUCUGAAAUCCCAAGCUGCAUAUCUUAUUUGGGAAUAUUAACAUUGAACUAGUGCUCUGAAUUUUAGUGUGUCUGGACUCUUAAUUUCAGUAUAUGUGUGCUCUAUACUAGUGCUCUGAAUUUCAAUGUGUUUGGACUCUGAACUAGUGCCUCUGUAAUGUAUGUUCCUUUCCUGAAAAUUGAGGUUAGUUUCCUGAACCAGCUUUUGACUCACUGCAUUUCUGAAAAUAAUUUGGUCACUUGUCAGUUGUAUAUAACCUGAGUUGCAAGUGAUGCUUACUUGUAUAUUCCAAUUCUGCCUAGUCACAAUACCUGACUAGCAAGUGUGUCAAAUUUUUUUUGCUUGCAGGGCUGAUGUCAAAGAAGAAAUUUUGUGCUGAUAAUUGAGGUUAGUAUUCUGCUGUUCCCUCUGAAUUGAGCUGAUCUUCCAAUUGCAGUCAAGAGAUGAAUCAAGGAACAUGAUCUGCCCAUGCUACUUAUGAAUUUAGAUUGAUUACGGUUCAUUUCUUUGUGAUGCAAAUGUGU